GACCUACGGGACGCAGCAGUAGGGAAUCUUCCACAAUGGACGAAAGUCUGAUGGAGCAACGCCGCGUGAGUGAAGAAGGGUUUCGGCUCGUAAAGCUCUGUUGGGAGUGAAGAAAGAUAGAGGUAGUAACUGGCCUUUAUUUGACGGUAAUUACUUAGAAAGUCACGGCUAACUACGUGCCAGCAGCCGCGGUAAUACGUAGGUGGCAAGCGUUGUCCGGAUUUAUUGGGCGUAAAGCGAGUGCAGGCGGGUCCAUAAGUCUGAUGUGGAAGCCUUUGGCUCAAACGGGGAGAUGCGUCAGAAAA
rnacentral:rRNA from 1 species